rnacentral:tRNA from 1 species
CAUCAAGACAGUAGUUUAACUUAAAAUUCUGGUAUUGGAAACCAAGAUUGGGUAUCUAGCCCCACUUCUUGA